UACGAAGGGUGCAAACGUUGCUCGGAAUUAUUGGGCGUAAAGGGUGCGUAGGCGGUUGUUUAAGUCUGUCGUGAAAUCCCCGGGCUCAACCUGGGAAUGGCGAUGGAUACUGGGCAGCUAGAGUGUGUCAGAGGAUGGUGGAAUUCCCGGUGUAGCGGUGAAAUGCGUAGAGAUCGGGAGGAACAUCAGUGGCGAAGGCGGCCAUCUGGGACAACACUGACGCUGAAGCACGAAAGCGUGGGGAGCAAACAGG
rnacentral:rRNA from 1 species